UACGGAGGGUGCAAGCGUUGUCCGGAAUCACUGGGCGUAAAGGGCGCGUAGGCGGCUCAUGAAGGCUGUGGUGAAAGUCCGGGGCUCAACCUCGGAUCGGCCGUGGCGACUCGUGGGCUGGAGCACUGUAGAGGCGGGUGGAAUUCCCGGUGUAGCGGUGGAAUGCGUAGAGAUCGGGAAGAACGUCAGUGGCGAAGGCGGCCUGCUGGGCUGUUGCUGACGCUGAGGCGCGACAGCGUGGGGAGCAAACAGG
rnacentral:rRNA from 1 species